GUGAGGAAUAUUGGUCAAUGGGCGAGAGCCUGAACCAGCCAAGCCGCGUGAGGGAAGAAGGCGCUCAGCGUCGUAAACCUCUUUAGCCGGGGGACAAAACCUCCUCGCGAAGGAGGCUUGAGAGUACCCGGAGAAUAAGCAUCGGCUAACUCCGUGCCAGCAGCCGCGGUAAUACGGAGGAUGCGAGCGUUAUCCGGAUUUAUUGGGUUUAAAGGGUGCGCAGGCGGACAUUCAAGUCUGCGGUCAAAUUCCGGGGCUCAACCCCGGCCAGCCGUGGAAACUGAAUGACUUGAGUGGGCGAGAGGUAUGCGGAAUGCGCGGUGUAGCGGUGAAAUGCUUAGAGAUCGCGCAGAACUCCGAUUGCGAAGGCAGCAUACCGGCGCCUUACUGACGCUCAGGCACGAAAGCGUGGGGAUCGAACAGGAUUAGAAACCCUAGUAGUCC
rnacentral:rRNA from 1 species